rnacentral:rRNA from 1 species
GUAUAAUAUUUAUACGUAUAACAUGGAUCCGCGUCCGAUUAACUUGUUGGCGAGGGAGACGAUCACCAAGGCAACUAUCAGGAUCCGCCCUGACAUGGUGAACGGCCCCCUUGCCACUGACAUACGGCCCGAACUCCUACGGAAGGUAGCACUGUGGAAUAUUGCACGAUGCGGGGAACCCUGAUCCAUCAACACCGCUUGAGUGAAGAAGUAUUUCGGCAUGUAAAGCUCUAUCGACAGGGAACAAAAUGACGGUACCUGACUACUAAGCCCCGGCUAACUACGUGCCACCAACCGCGGUAAUACGUACGGGGCAAACUGUAUCCGGAUUUACUGGAUGUAA